CCUUCUUGACCAACCUCAUCUCCUAUGACUGGGUGACCCACCUGGUGGAUGAGGGAAAAGCUGCUGAUAAAAUCUACCAAGACUAUCCCAAGACUACCUAGGUAUCUAGACUUGUCCUCUACAACUAUGUGAAAGGAGGUUGUGGUGAGAUUUUUUACGUCUGUAAGGACAAUGAGAGAAGCAGGCCCAGAGAAAACUCUACUUGAGGAGACAAAGCCAUUCUGCAGCUGCCCACUGAAGGCUUGGAGGCAAAGAGACAACUUCCUCAGAUGUUUGCUACUUAACUCUUGUUAUGUAAACAUCUACAUAGCUGUUAUUUCAAGCAUCCAUUUUUAGAAGAACGUUAAAGUGCAGAGAUUCAGAGACAAACAUUCAAAAGCUGCACAGUGAAUCAAUACCAAAGACAAAAUAAAAUCCAUUCUAUCUCCUGUUUUAACUUAACAGUUAAUGGGAAAUAAAAUGUCAGCCACUAAAAGGU